GGAUUCCCCUAGUAGCGGCGAGCGAAGCGGGAAAAGCUCAAAUUUGUAAUCUGGCGUCUACGACGUCCGAGUUGUAAUCUCGAGAAGUGUUUUCCGUGAUAGACCGCAUACAAGUCUCUUGGAACAGAGCGUCAUAGUGGUGAGAACCCAGUACACGAUGCGGAUGCCUAUUACUUUGUGAUACACUUUCGAAGAGUCGAGUUGUUUGGGAAUGCAGCUCAAAUUGGGUGGUAAAUUCCAUCUAAAGCUAAAUAUUGGCGAGAGACCGAUAGCGAACAAGUACCGUGAGGGAAAGAUGAAAAGCACUUUGGAAAGAGAGUUAACAGUACGUGAAAUUGUUGGAAGGGAAACACAUGCAGCCAGACUUGCUAUUCGGGGCAACUCGAUUGGCAGGCCCGCAUCAGUUUUUCGGGGCGGAAAAGCAUAGAGAGAAGGUAGCAAUUUCGGUUGUGUUAUAGCUCUUUAUUGGAUUCGCCCUGGGGGACUGAGGAACGCAGCGUGCUUUUAGCAUAAGCUUCGGCUUAUCCACGCUUAGGAUGCGGGUGUAAUGGCUGUAUAUGACCCGUCUUGAAACACGGACCAAGGAGUCUAACAUGCUUGCGAGUAUUUGGGUGUCAAACCCGGAUGCGCAAUGAAAGUGAAUGGAGGUGGGAAGCGCAAGCUGCACCAUCGACCGAUCUGGAUCUUUUGAGAUGGAUUUGAGUAAGAGCAAGUAUGUUGGGACCCGAAAGAUGGUGAACUAUGCCUGAAUAGGGCGAAGCCAGAGGAAACUCUGGUGGAGGCUCGUAGCGGUUCUGACGUGCAAAUCGAUCGUCAAAUUUGGGUAUAGGGGCGAAAGACUAAUCGAACCAUCUAGUAGCUGGUUCCUGCCGAAGUUUCCCUCAGGAUAGCAGAAACUCACAUCAGUUCUAUGAGGUAAAGCGAAUGAUUAGAGGCCUUGGGGUUGAAACAACCUUAACCUAUUCUCAAACUUUAAAUAUGUAGGAAGCCCUUGCUACUUAAUUGAGCGAGGGCA
rnacentral:rRNA from 1 species